rnacentral:rRNA from 1 species
AUUGAACGCUGGCGGCAUGCUUUACACAUGCAAGUCGAACGGUAACAGGCCGCAAGGUGCUGACGAGUGGCGAACGGGUGAGUAAUGUAUCGGAACGUGCCCAGUCGUGGGGGAUAACGCAGCGAAAGCUGCGCUAAUACCGCAUACGAUCUAUGGAUGAAAGCGGGGGACCGUAAGGCCUCGCGCGCUUGGAGCGGCCGAUAUCAGAUUAGGUAGUUGGUGGGGUAAAGGCUCACCAAGCCAACGAUCUGUAGCUGGUCUGAGAGGACGACCAGCCACACUGGGACUGAGACACGGCCCAGACUCCUACGGGAGGCAGCAGUGGGGAAUUUUGGACAAUGGGCGCAAGCCUGAUCCAGCAAUGCCGCGUGCAGGAAGAAGGCCUUCGGGUUGUAAACUGCUUUUGUACGGAACGAAACGGUCUGGGUUAAUACCUCGGGCUAAUGACGGUACCGUAAGAAUAAGCACCGGCUAACUACGUGCCAGCAGCCGCAGUAACAC